rnacentral:rRNA from 1 species
AUGCACGCUGGCGGCGUGCCUCAUCCAUGCCAGUCGAGCGCACAGAUAAGGAGCUUGCUCCUUUGACGUUAGCGGCGGACGGGUGAGUAACACGUGGAUAACCUACCUAUAAGACUGGGAUAACUUCGGGAAACCGGAGCUAAUACCGGAUAACAUAUUGAACCGCAUGGUUCAAUAGUGAAAGGCGGCUUUGCUGUCACUUAUAGAUGGAUCCGCGCCGUAUUAGCUAGUUGGUAAGGUAACGGCUUACCAAGGCAACGAUACGUAGCCGACCUGAGAGGGUGAUCGGCCACACUGGAACUGAGACACGGUCCAGACUCCUACGGGAGGCAGCAGUAGGGAAUCUUCCGCAAUGGGCGAAAGCCUGACGGAGCAACGCCGCGUGAGUGAUGAAGGUCUUCGGAUCGUAAAACUCUGUUAUCAGGGAAGAACAAAUGUGUAAGUAACUGUGCACAUCUUGACGGUACCUGAUCAGAAAGCCACGGCUAACUACGUG